rnacentral:rRNA from 1 species
UGGGGAAUUUUGGACAAUGGGCGAAAGCCUGAUCCAGCAAUGCCGCGUGUGUGAAGAAGGCCUUCGGGUUGUAAAGCACUUUUUGUCCGGAAAGAAACCCUUGGCUCUAAUACAGUCGGGGGAUGACGGUACCGGAAGAAUAAGCACCGGCUAACUACGUGCCAGCAGCCGCGGUAAUACGUAGGGUGCAAGCGUUAAUCGGAAUUACUGGGCGUAAAGCGUGCGCAGGCGGUUUGCUAAGACCGAUGUGAAAAUCCCCGGGCGUCAACCUGGGCAACUGCAUUGGUGAUCUGGCAGGCUAGAGUAUGGCAGAGGGGGGUGAGAAUUCCACGUGUAGCAGUGAAAAUGCGUAGAGAUGUGGAGGAAUACCGAUGGCG